UCUGGUCCCAGCAGCCGCGGUAAUUCCAGCUCUCAAAGUGUAUAUCGUCAUUGCUGCGGUUAAAAAGCUCGUAGUUGGAUCUGCGCCUCAGGACUCGGUCCGCCCAUUGGGUGAGAACUGGGCUCCUGGGCUAGUUUUGCUGGUUUUCCCUACGUUGCCUUCAUCGGUAGCAUAGGGUGGCUAGCGAGUUUACUUUGAAAAAAUUAGAGUGCUUCACGCGGGCUUAUGUCUGAAUACUCGUGCAUGGAAUAAUAGAAUAGGAUCUCGGCUCUAUUUUGUUGGUUUUCUGAUCUGAGAUAAUGGUUAAGAGGGACAGACGGGGGCAUUCGUAUCGCUGCGUGAGAGGUGAAAUUCUUGGACCGUAGCGAGACGCCCGACUGCGAAAGCAUUUGCCAAGAAUGUCUUCAUUAAUCAAGAACGAAAGUCAGAGGUUCGAAGGCGAUCAGAUACCGCCCUAGUUCUGACCGUAAACGAUACCAACUAGCGUUCCGUCGGCGGUAAAUACGCCUUGACGGGCAGCUUCCCGGAAACGAAAGUGUUUCGGUUCCGGGGGAAGUAUGGUUGCAAAGCUGAAACUUAAAGAAAUUGACGGAAGGGCACCACCAGGAGUGGAGCCUGCGGCUUAAUU
rnacentral:rRNA from 2 species